GCCUUGGGUGGAAGGGGUGGCUCCAAAUGCAGAGGAUACAAUAACCCUCUGCAUUUACCUUUAGUUGGAGAAUAAGUGCAAGUGAAGCUCUCAAGCACCCUUGGCUGUCGGAUCACAAGCUCCACUCCAGGCUCAGCGCACAGAAGAGGAAGAAUUGCUGCUCUGACGCCCAGGACCUCGUGGCCAAAUAGUCCCCGGAGGGCACCCUCUUGAAAGGAAAACUGCUGCGGUUGCUGCUGCUUUGAGAAGAUUUUUGGAAAAAUCAGCAGUUCUGAUGCCUUGACCCCUAAGGAGACUGGUGGCUCUGAGGGAGGGGAAGACGCCACACAGAACUCUGAGAACCUCCGCCAGGCUCGCGGGGCCGGGGCACCCAGAGCUGCGGCCCAGGGGGCAGGCAAGCCUGCACCCCGCCUCACAGCCCCUCCCUGCAGCAGUGCACACCCCAGAAGACAUUUCCCUGCCAUCCUGAGCUUCAGAACUUUCGAUCUCAGUCACUGGGGCACGGGGUGCAUUACUUCUGCAAUUUCUCAGAUCCCUAGAGCAAUCACACUGGAGAUUUAGUUGAGAUUUUAAAACAUGUUGGAUGCAGAGGUUAACUAUCAUAUAUAGAAUGAAUAAACAACAAGGUCCUACUGUAGAGCACAGGGAACUAUUAUAUUCAAUAACCUGUGAUAAACCAUAACAGAAAAGAAUAAGAAAAAGAAUGUAUAUAUAUGUAAAAAAAAAUGCUGGAUACAUUUAGAGGGAGAAUUGCCUUUCAAAGCGGUGAGUACGACGCCAGAAAAAAUUCUAAGUCUGGUGCACCCUUGACCGCUCAGUUUCUCAGACUCUAUUACUUGGAUUUGGUCUGAAAUCAGGUGAAUCCAAUUGAUAAGUAAUUUGCUUUCUUUGAAUUCUGAGGCAAAAAGCAUCAGACAUUCUACCUUCAUUUAUUCUGAAAUCCCCUCCAAGAGCAGAAGUGUCUUCUACGCAGCAAACUUCCAAACUACUUCCAAACGAGGCACGUGUGUUGUCGCCACGCCCCCCGCUCUCUUCCGAGGGAAACUUCAUCCACAUGGAGCACGCUGGCUUUGAGAGAUGGUGUAUGGUUAGUCUUUACAAUCAGGACCUUUGGAAUAAUGUUAACAGUCCCGAGAGCUUCGCUCAAUGUGGCUGAAAGAAGAGAUGGGUCUGGUGGGUCCUGAGGGGGACGGUGCCGUGUUUCCUGUCAAAGUGACCCAGGUAAAUGCCAGUCCGUGUGAGGACCAGUGACCUCACCCACGUGGCGUCUCUGUGGCUCAGCCCUGUGCAGGGAGCCUUGGACACUGAAGGCCAGGGGCACCUCCCCUCACUUUGGGGAUGUGACACUGAUCUCCAGUUGGAAGCGUCUUCCUGUUCCCGAGCUCGUGUGCCAUUUUCUCAGACAUUUAACAGGGGACGUGAGCCCUGCUGCAGGAAUGGGCGUUGUUUCUUUACAAAGCAGAAGCAGCGCAGAGAGGGAUUACACGCCAGCACCACACCCACCACUAGCAUCUUAAGCCUCCCUCACAUUUUCCACUUCCAAGUACCUGCUGUGUUGAGAUCAGCUAUAAUAAUGUCUUUAUUUUUAGCUUAAAUCAUUCUAGCCUGCAGUUGUCUCAACUGCGACAAAACAAAAUAAGAGCAGCUCGGGGCUGCCUGGGCCAGGGCGGACCUGACGUGCGUUGGCUUUUCCCAGCAUCCCACCGGUGAAUCCUCAUGGCCCGCCAUGAGGACGGAUGGCGACGCGUGCAACGUCCUUUUUCUUGUGCUUCAGGUACGGGGGAAGCAGAGGCAGAAGACGAGGUGUCAUUAGUUCAGGCCACAAGCCAAUUUACUGGUCGUGCUGGCUGUGGAAGGUCCUCCUUUCCGGCCUCUGCUCUUGCAUUACGAUGCAUCUCUUUCUUUCUUCCUUGGGCCUAUGCAUUUAUCCAAGGUUGGCUUCUCCUGUUCCUGUUCUGUGACUAUGUUUCAAAUGUUUAAUUUAGUUUCCUUAAAAUACACACACACACACACACACACACACACACGCACAGCCCUGUGAUUGAAGUGUUAUGUUACCGCGCUAUCUUUAGCUGCUGGUAUUCAUCGAGUCUGGAAAAAUACAAGCCGGUGCAGGCUUAAUACUCAGCCCGCAGAGAGCUGGCAUCCACUCAAAUGCUGAACAGGACACGGGGGUCUGGUGUGUUCCCCUCCAGCCCGAGCAGGGGGCCUUUGUAGGGCGUGCAGAUCGCAUCCACCCCGGCUCACUUUCCCCGGGCCCUGCUGCACACACACGAAGGGGAUGGCUUCGGCCAAAUGAAGCAGUGAUUUCUUUGCCAAAUUCAUCCACUGAUGACCCCACGGUCAGUGGGUAUGAUUUUCUUUUUAGGGGUUGAGAAAGGAGACUGUACUUUGAAAAUGGCUCUCCUUAGAAUUUGUAGCUAUAUUUCCACCUCGGAUGGGGAGGUGGCCCCAUGCCAGCGGGGUCCUUUUAUAUGGGAGUGGGGGAGAGUCUGCCCUGCAGAGCUGAUUAUUACAGUGUGCAGUUACGGGGAAAUGGGAGAGUUUCGGUCUCCUGCUCGGCCGGUCCCCUCCCUCCACGCCUUGCAGUACGUGGCCGCUCUGACGGGAAAUGGGCUUUGCACAUCGGAAGAAUCAAACCAGAUGCGAGCGUGGACCCGAGGAGUGGAGUCUGGCUGGACUGGGGUUGUUGUGAUCAACUUUUCCCAGAAGUCACGAGGAUUGGAGGCUGUGUUGCUUCUCCACCCUCUUAAUGGACGUGACAAUCUUGCUCUCUCCCUUUAGGCCGCUGCCGUUUCUCCAGUAAAUGCAGGAAAUUAAGCACCAGUGGGGCACUUCCUGCUGCCUGGAGAGAAAUAAACUUCACAAGCUAUUAAGGAAAAAGCAAGUCACAUUCGUAAUUCGUAAGAUACCAACAGUUACCCAGAAUCUGUUGCUGUUUAAAAAUCAGGGAGGAAAGAGCUCACGCCCAGUUUGUGACAUAAAACCCUCUGGCAUGGAUUCUCACCUGAAUUAACUUGGGGCAACGAUUUGUGGGUUGAAGUUGGGUAACUCAUGUCUGUUGAGUACCGUAGGUUUGCUUGUAGUUGCUCUCGGUCUGACUUGAUGUUAUUUUGCUUUCUUUCCUCAAAAAUGUAAAUUGGCCUGGUGCACUGUCACGCUGAGGCAGAUGCUGAUGUGAUGUGGUCUGAAGAUGUGUGAACACCAGCGUUUUCACCGUUUUUAUGGAAAUUAGUGCAGCAAAAUUUUUUUCUUGUUUUGGAAUCAGAAUAUGGAUUUUGUAUCAGGGAAACGUGCAAGGCUCUCAUCUUGUUCCUUUUUUGUCCUUCAGCCCCCACUAGCCUGACCCCCGCCCCCCGUUGGGGUAGGGGGGCAAUAUCAGACAUGAGCUGCUUCAGUCUGAAAUGCAGGCCAGUCGAGGGGACCUCAUUUGGAAACUGAUUUGUGAACUGGUAACGAGGGCAGGGCGGGGACCUCAGCGGCCGAGGUCGGGGGCUCAGCUUAGCGCUGUCCCCUGGCGAUUCCAUAGUGGGUUCAGGGCGCUCCUCCAUGGCCGCGCCCUUCUCCGCAGCCGCGAUGCCACCCGCUUUGCUUUUGCUCCAUCAUUUUAUGUUUUUACUCUUUUCUCCUUUUCUCAAGUUAGAAUCAGAAUCCACCUUCUUAUCCAUCACCAUGCUCCUCUAGAGCCUCUCUGAGAUGAAAAGUAUGUUUCCAAAAGUCAAGUUGCUUUCUGUCCUAAAGGAAACGUGAUGCUGCACUUCCUGGAUUAGGGUGACUUCCGUGCGUUGCAUGAAAUCUAUAGCUUCUCGCCUUAGAAGGUCCGUGUAUUUCUCCCAGCUUCUGAGGCAGUCAGGUGUGUUUUCCCUAAGUGGUCUUUGUACGGGCAGUUUCACCUUCCGUGAAGGCUUCUAACUCACCCCCUACUGGCAACUCAGAGGAGCAGAAGACGUCCUGCACCCGCCUGUGCCUGUGCUGAGUCCUGUGUGUUCUGGCUGAUAGAUGCGACCGAGCCCUUUGGAUGAGGUUUUUCAGUGGAGAUGAGAGGUAAAAAUGGAGCCAUAAUAUGGUGGUUGCAUAUAUUGCGUGUAUUUUCUAUUUCUGAACGUAGUUUCAUUCAGCUGUACUCCUUUGCCUUAUAAAGAUGUGUAGCAGUCAUAUAUAUGUAUUAUAUUGAAGAAUAAACUUGGACCUGUUUAUCCUUCGGUAGAUGAGCUGAUUUAUGCAAUGACGUGGACAUUGCAAAUGCCAUCCGAACGCUCUCCUUCGGACGAGGCUGACGUGUUACGUCCCGUGAUAUCAAGAACCCAAGCUACGCUUGCAGGGGCCCCCGGACCGUCCGCAGGGACCCUGGGGAAAACCGCCCCCCUUUGGAAAACAUAGUGUAUACGAUGAACCAACACAAGGCUCGGGGCUUUUCCCCUAAUUUUAACACAAAAAUAUUGACGGAGAGAGAUAUAUAUAUAUGAAGUGUCUAGUGCCAGAACACAGUGUGUGACAAAUUAUGAGGGCAAUUUAGCAGCAGCUCGCUCUUUCAAGUGACUUCAGGCAGAUCCUUCAGCCCCAGAAAGAUGUCUGCCUCAGAAGACCUGCCACUGAAAGACGAAACGGGACGAAACGACCCCCGGCGGGGGACACCGGGCCGCCUUCUGGGCCAGCAUCCGGGCUGGAACGCUGCUGUGACCGCCCAGCUCUGCGCCGUGUGUCUGAGGAUGACCUGGGGCCUCGCCGCCGAGUUUCCUGGUGUCCCCACUUUAUCCCAGCAGGGACGGGCUCCUCCACCCGCACCUGGCUGAGACGGACCUGCUGAGUUUCCUGCUGUCCCCACUUUAUCCCAGCAGGGACGGGCUCCUCCACCCGCACCUGGCUGAGACGGACCCGCUGAGUUUCCUGCUGUCUCCGUCGGAAGCAGGAGUGGGCCCUGUGUUCACACAAAGCCUCCCUUCCCUCUUGCUCGAGCCUCAGUCCUUCCUACCCAGCGUCCGGGCGAGGCCUUCUGACUUCCUCCCCAGAGGAGAGAACCUCGCAGGCCCUCUCUGAGGAUGUUGUGACGUAAGCACAACUGUACGUUUGCUCUCGGUCCCGGGUUCCUGGCACAGAGCUCCUAAAGCCCUCAGAAUUUCCUGCGCAGCCACACCUGAGCUAUAGCCCCUCAGGUGACCCUCAGAGGAUGAGGCCGGUGGUCAGUGACCCAACCACGUGAUCAGAGGGCUGGAACCUUCGACCCCACCCCUGCUGCACGUCCGGGGAGGGGAGAGAAGCCAGGGAUUGAGCUAGCCACCAAGGGCCCGUGAGUCGGUCCGUCACGCCUGUGUAUUCAAACCUCUAUGAAAAACCCUACAUGAAGGGGUCUGGAGGGUGACGCACCCCAGCUCCAUGGGGACAGAAGCUCGUGCGCUCUGGACCCUCCCAGACCUCGCCCUGUGCGCCUCUGCAUCAGGCUGUUCAUCUGUGCCCUUGACUAGAUCCUCCUAAUAGACUGCGAAUAGUAAGGAAGUCAUUCCCUGGGUUCCGUUAACCAGUUAUAAAUUCAAAUUAUCCAAGCUUAGGAGGGAGUCUGGGCAAGCCUUGGUGUGCGGUCAAGCGGGGCAGAAGUGCGUCCGGGUGGGGGGUCUGUGCGACCGGAAGCCGGGGGUCUGCGCUGACUCCAAGCAGUGAGUGUCUGGACUGUUCCUGUGAGAAAAGCCCGCCCGCUUGCCGUCAGAAGCGCCCCGAGCGGAGAAGCACCUUUCCUUCGGCCUCUGGCACCGGCACAGGGCAGGUCCCGGGGUCCAGCCCCACCUUCGCCAGGAAUAGGCUCCCGGCUGGGGCCUGGGGCUCGGGGACAAGAACUGGUCACUGCCCUUCCGGCCCCUCUCGUCGCCUUCUCCCGGGGUAAGGGGACGGGGCGGUGUCCCUCACCCUCUCCCCGGGGGGGACGCUAAACCCACGUCAUCCCUCCGCCGACCCCUCCCUGCUCGGAAAGGCGACCGCCACCCGCCGUGGGGCCCGGGCCCAUCAGGGGGAUGAGGGGCCCCGGAAGCCCCCCGUCGGUAACUUGCUUCUGCCGCCCCAACGCAGGCUUUCCCGAGAGCGUGUGAUCUGUGUCCCCGGACGUCGCCGUGCGCACAAAUAGGCUCUCGGGGAGGAUCCGCACCGGGGCUUAGGUGGCUCGUGGCCUCCCCUGCAGAGCUCGGUCCCCUCACAGCUCACGCGGCUGUUACUAGAGAAUUCUAAAAAAACCCGUACACAAGCUCGGGAGCCAGCGUGCCAGGCAGAGGCGUCCGGCUGCAGCUCCGGUCCACCGACACCUGCUGCCCUGCCGAGGGCGCUGCUUCCGGGCAGCCCUCCAGAUGAUGGCAGCAGGAACCGCCGAAGUUACGUAACCUGCUGGGUGAGCCGAUGAAGCUUCAGCUCGCUGGCCUCUCAGGUCUCGUGACAGUGUCUUGCACGGAAGGGUCACUCAAGGCAGAUGUGAAAAGCUUCGAAUCGCAAGAUCCAAGUUGCUGUUCAGUGACAUCAGAUGACAGCGUCCUUGAUAAAGACAACUCGUGGUAGAAAAGACCACGACUAGAGGAGGAUCUGUUUCCCAGACGGCUGGAUUGCAGAGCUGGCAAAUUGAUGCCGGUUUUUGGCAGGAGACCACAGCUCCUUGCCAGCAAUUACAAGAAGAAACCAAGAAGUACUUUCAACAGUUCCUGGAAGUCUCCCCAGCUAGACCACACAGCUCAUUUGGCCAUGAGGCACGUGGGAUCCUAGCUCCCUGACCAGGGAUGGGACCCACACCCCCUGUAUUGGAAGACGAAGUCUCAACCACUGGACCGCCAGGGAAGUCCCCUCCACCUCCCCCAUUACUGCAGCCCUCACUCUCAGCCUCUUCCAAGGGCAUCGGGACUUCAUGAAACACUCUUCAAGGCUCUUCACGCUUCCAAGGUCACUCUCCCCAGAGCCUUUCCAGGUUCUUCCCGCUCUGCCUGUUCCCAAAGCCUCCCCCAUCUUUUGGGUUUUCGUUACGGUGACGCUCCACAUGCUGACAGCACCAGUACAGUACACCUGCUUAUGAUUCUGAAGCUUUACACAUCCUCAUCUCUCUGUCUGAAAGGUUUUCCACUAGUCUCUCUACCUGAUAAGCACCCAAAUCCCACUGUGUCUCCCAAUCCAGGGCAAAGCCCUUAUGCCCUUGUCAUACCCUCUCUGUAUUUCUCAUAGCAGUUGUCACAUUACUUUCUCAUAAUUAAUAAAUUAUUAGUGUGAUUGAUUUGCAAAUAUUAAACCAACCAUGCAUUCCUCGGAUAAACCCAACUUGGUCAUAAUUUAUUAUACUUUUGUAUAUUCCUGGAAUCAGUUUGGUAAAACCUUAUUGAGAAUGUUUGCAUCUAUGUUCAUAAGAGAUAUUCUGUAGUUUUAUUGUAACGUCUUUUGGUUUCAUGGGAAUGCUGGUCUUACAGAAUAAACUGGGUAGUAUUUCCUUCUCCCAAUUUUCUGCAAGAAUUUAUGAGGAAUUGAUGUUAUUUCUUCCUUAAAUGUUUGGUAGAAUUCACCAAUGAAGCUAUCUUACCUGGAGUUUCUUUAUGGGAAGGUUUAUAACUUCACAUUUCAUUCAAUCUCUGUAAUAGAGAAAUAGUCAGAGUAUUUAUUUCUUCUUGAGUUAAUGUUGGUAGUUAGUGCCUUUCAAAGAACUUGUCUAUUUUCUAAGUUUAUUGGCAUAAUGUUGGUUAUAUUUCCAUAUAAUCCUUUUAACAUGUUUAGAAUCUGUGAGGAUUCCAUCUCUUUCAUUCCUGAUUUGUAUCUUGUCUCUUCCUUCCUGAUCAAUCCGACUUGAAGUUUAUCAAUUUUAUUGAUCUUCUCAAAGAACCAGCUUUUUUGCCCCAUCAGUCUUCUCUAUUAAUUUUC